UGUUCUGUGGUGCAACGGAUAGUGCUUUGGCCUUCUAGGUUAGGCUUCCAAAGUUUGUGGGAUCAAGUCCCACCUGAGUUG